GGCUGGUUGGUGAAGUGGCCUAACACACUGGUUUUAGGAGUUUCCUUAUGGGAAAACCAAGUCGCCUAUGCGGUUGAUGAGAGAAGACACCAGGAUUCCUGGGUUCGAAUCCCAGACUAGUCA
rnacentral:tRNA from 1 species